AGAGUUUGAUUCUGGCUCAGAACGAACGCUGGCGGCGCGCCUAAUACAUGCAAGUCGAGCGAGAAGGUGUAGCAAUACACUUGUAAAGCGGCGAACGGGUGAGGAAUACAUGGGUAAUCUACCAUCGAGUGGGGAAUAACCAGCCGAAAGGUUGGCUAAUACCGCGUACGCCUCCGGAUCUUCGGGUUCGGAGGGAAAGCCACACUGUGAGUGCGGCGCUCUUUGAUGAGCUCAUGUCCUAUCAGCUUGUUGGUAGGGUAACGGCCUACCAAGGCUUUGACGGGUAGCUGGUCUGAGAGGACGAUCAGCCACACUGGCACUGCGACACGGGCCAGACUCCUACGGGAGGCAGCAGUAAGGAAUAUUGCGCAAUGGGCGAAAGCCUGACGCAGCGACGCCGCGUGGGGGAUGAAGGUCUUCGGAUUGUAAACCCCUUUCGGGAGGGAAGAUGGAGCGAGCAAUCGUUCGGACGGUACCUCCAGAAGCAGCCACGGCCAACUUCGUGCCAGCAGCCGCGGUAAUAUGAAGGUGGCAAGCGUUGUUCGGAUUUACUGGGCGUACAGGGAGCGUAGGCGGUUCGGUAAGCCCUCCGUGAAAUCUCCAGGCUUAACCUGGAAAGUGCAGAGGGGACUGCUGGGCUAGAGGAUGGGAGAGGAGCGCGGAAUUCCCGGUGUAGCGGUGAAAUGCGUAGAGAUCGGGAGGAAGGCCGGUGGCGAAGGCGGCGCUCUGGAACAUUUCUGACGCUGAGGCUCGAAAGCGUGGGGAGCAAACAGGAUUAGAUACCCUGGUAGUCCACGCCUUAAACGAUGGAUACUAAGUGUCGGCGGGUUACCGCCGGUGCCGCAGCUAACGCAUUAAGUAUCCCGCCUGGGAAGUACGGCCGCAAGGUUGAAACUCAAUGAAUUGACGGG
rnacentral:rRNA from 1 species